rnacentral:rRNA from 1 species
UACAGAGGUCCCAAGCGUUGUUCGGAUUCAUUGGGCGUAAAGGGUGUGUAGGUGGCGCGCUAAGUCGGGUGUGAAAUUUCGGAGCUUAACUCCGAAACUGCAUUCGAUACUGGCGUGCUUGAGGACUGGAGAGGAGACUGGAAUUCAUGGUGUAGCAGUGAAAUGCGUAGAGAUCAUGAGGAAGACCAGUGGCGAAGGCGGGUCUCUGGACAGUUCCUGACGCUGAGGCACGAAGGCCAGGGGAGCAAACGGG